rnacentral:misc_RNA from 1 species
GUGUUAAGUUUUAAAGGCCAUGAAAGCCUGUAACAUAACAUUCUUUGACAUGCGGUGUGAAUGUAAAAAGACAUAGACCGGAUGCGGGCAAGGGAAAGCUGGCCAACAAACUAUGGCAGCAGCAGACCCUCCAACCGAGUUGACCUUGAAGAGAUGUAUCCAAGUCUACAGAAGGUGCACAGGUGGUAAAAAGAAGUUGGUGUCAGGUGUGCACAUGCCCUGAGGGACCAGCAACAGCCCAACCAAGUUCAUUCAAUAAUGAUCCUUCCGCAGGUUCACCUACGGAAA